ACUAAAGAAGUUGUUAAGACACCUGAACAGUCUGGUAGACUCACUUUCCCUAUCUCAUUAAAACAGCCGGGUCCUCGGGAAUCGCCAACACAAUGCUUCAUCAAAAGGGAAAGAGCAACUUCUACUUAUCAUCUGUAUCUGGGUUUAACCCCUGCAUUGUUGGGGGAGAAUGGGAAAUUGUUGUUUGCUGCUAGAAAAGUUAAAAGAGCAACCAGCACUGAUUUUGUGAUAUCUUUGGUAUCUGAUGAUUUCUCUCGGGCAAGCGACACGUACAUUGGAAA